rnacentral:misc_RNA from 1 species
UAUCCGUAGGUGAACCUGCGGAAGGAUCAUUAUAAAUGAAAAACGAAUAACUUUAGGGAAGAAGGGAACCUGCACGGUGACCUCCCCUGUCGGGCCACCCAAUACCUUCAAAAUGCCGCCGUCCUAGCGGUGGCAGACGAAAAAAGACAAGAAAAACAAAAUAGAAACAGGCACGGUGGCCCGUUCACCUUCACACAACCCUCCGAGUACCGCUUCCAUGUUGCUUCCCCGCAAAUCCACCUCUUUGGUGAGCGCGGGGGAGGUCCGCAUCAAAUUCACCUGAAUGUCACAGCAGUCAGACAGCCAUUCAUGGAAACAAUAAAACUUUCAACAACGGAUCUCUUGGUUCCC